rnacentral:rRNA from 1 species
UCUANGGGCCCAACUCCAAGGCUGUAUCCGAAACUGAAAACUAGAGUCUUUCAGGGGCAUGCGGAAUUCUGUGUGUAGGGGUAAAAUCCGUAGAUACACAGAGGAACACCAAAAGCGAAGGCAGCAUGCUGGGAAAGUACUGACGCUCAUGGACGAAAGCGUAGGUAGCGAACGGGAUUAGAUACCCCGGUAGUCUACGCCGUAAACGAUGGAUACUAGUUGUUGGAGGGCUCGACCCCUUCAGUGACGACGCUAACGCAUUAAGUAUCCCGCCUGGGGAGUACGAUUGCAAGAUUAAAACUCAAAGGAAUAGACGGGGACCCACACAAGCGGUGGAGCACCUGGCUUAAUUCGAUAAUGAGCGAGGAACCUCACCUGGACUUGACAUCUAGAGAAUUUCCUAGAAAUAGGAAAGUGCCUUCUGGAACUCUAUGACAGGUGCUGCAUGGUUGUCGUCAGCUCGUGCCUUGAGGUGUUCGGUUAAGUCCGUAAACGAGCGCAACCCAUGUCCUGUGUUGCAUUUUUCACAGGAGACUGCCGAUUCCAAGUCGGAGGAAGGUAUGGAUGACGUCAAAUCAGCAUGGCCCUUAUGUCCAGGGCUGCACAGGUGCUACAAUGGCUGGUACAAUGGGUA